rnacentral:rRNA from 1 species
GACGAACGCUGGCGGCGUGCUUAACACAUGCAAGUCGAACGGAAAGGCCCUGCGUUUGUGGGGUGCUCGAGUGGCGAACGGGUGAGUAACACGCGAGGAACCUGCCCUUGACUUUGGGAUAACUUCAGGAAACUGGGGCUAAUACCGGAUAGGAGCUCCUGCUGCAUGGGGGGGGUUGGAAAGUUUCGGCGGUGGUGGCUGGACUCGCGGCUUAUCAGCUUGUUGGUGGGGUAGUGGCUUACCAAGGCUUUGACGGGUAGCCGGCCUGGGAGGGUGACCGGCCACAUUGGGCCUGCGAUACGGCCCAGUCUGCUACGGGAGGCAGCAGUGGGGAAUAUUGCACAAUGGGCGGAAGCCUGAUGCAGCAACGCCGGGUGCGGGAUGACGGCCUUCGGGUUGUAAACCGCUUUGGCCUGUGCCGAAGCGUGAGUGACGGUAAUGGGUAAAGAAGCCCCGGCUAACUACGUG